rnacentral:rRNA from 1 species
CCCUUAGAUGUCCUGGGCCGCACGCGCGCUACACUGAUGCAUUCAACGAGUUUUACCUUGGCCGAGAGGCCUGGGCAAUCUUUUAAACCUGCAUCGUGAUAGGGAUAGGUUAUUGCAAUUAUUAAUCUUGAACGAGGAAUUCCUAGUAAACGCAAAUCAUCAAUUUGCAUUGAUUACGUCCCUGCCCUUUGUACACACCGCCCGUCGCACCUAUCGAUUGAAUGGUCCGGUGAAGCCUCGGGAUUGUGGCCAGUUCACUUUAUUGGGAGUUGGCUGCGAGAACUUGUCUAAACCUUAUCAUUUAGAGGAAGGUGAAGUCGUAACA